UCGUUGCUGUAGCAAUACAGCGGCGGUCCUAGUGGCGCACGGGUGAGUAACACGUGGGCAACCUGCCCUGGAGUUCGGGAUACCCUUUCGAAAGGAAGGCUAAUACCGGAUACGUUCCCCGGGUCGCGAGACCUGGGGAGGAAAGGUGGCGCAAGCUGCCGCUCUUGGAGGGGCUCGCGGCCUAUCAGCUAGUUGGUGAGGUAACGGCUCACCAAGGCUAUGACGGGUAGCUGGUCUGAGAGGACGACCAGCCACACGGGAACUGAGACACGGUCCCGACUCCUACGGGAGGCAGCAGUGGGGAAUUUUCCGCAAUGGGCGAAAGCCUGACGGAGUGACGCCGCGUGGGGGACGAAGGCCUUCGGGUCGUAAACCCCUGUCAGAGGGAAAGAAGGGUGUCGGCGCGAAUACCGCCGGCAUCUGACGGUACCUUCAGAGGAAGCCCCGGCCAACUCUGUGCCAGCAGCCGCGGUAAGACAGAGGGGGCAAGCGUUGCUCGGAAUCACUGGGCGUAAAGGGCGCGUAGGCGGGAUGGCAAGUCGGUCGUGAAAUCCUUCGGCUCAACCGAAGAACGUCGAUCGAAACUGCCGUUCUUGAGGGAUGCAGAGGAGACUGGAAUUCCCGGUGUAGCGGUGAAAUGUGUA
rnacentral:rRNA from 1 species